GAUGAACGCUGGCGGCGUGCCUAACACAUGCAAGUCGAACGGAGAUUACGGACGGAAGUUUUCGGAUGGAAGACUGUAAUUCUUAGUGGCGGACGGGUGAGUAACGCGUGGGCAACCUGCCCUAUACAGGGGGAUAGCAGCUGGAAACGGCUGGUAAGACCGCAUAAGUCGGCGAGACCGCAUGGUUUUGCCGGGAAAUGAGCAAUCAGGUAUAGGAUGGGCCCGCGUCCGAUUAGCCAGUUGGUAGGGUAAAAGCCUACCAAAGCAACGAUCGGUAGCCGGACUGAGAGGUCGGACGGCCACAUUGGGACUGAGACACGGCCCAAACUCCUACGGGAGGCAGCAGUGGGGGAUAUUGCACAAUGGAGGAAACUCUGAUGCAGCGACGCCGCGUGAGUGAAGAAGUAUUUCGGUAUGUAAAGCUCUAUCAGCAGGGAAGAUGAUGACGGUACCUGACUAAGAAGCCCCGGCUAACUACGUG
rnacentral:rRNA from 1 species